rnacentral:rRNA from 1 species
GACGAACGCUGGCGGCGUGCUUAACACAUGCAAGUCGAACGGAAAGGCCCUGCUUUUGUGGGGUGCUCGAGUGGCGAACGGGUGAGUAACACGUGAGUAACCUGCCCUUGACUUUGGGAUAACUUCAGGAAACUGGGGCUAAUACCGGAUAGGAGCUCCUGCUGCAUGGUGGGGGUUGGAAAGUUUCGGCGGUUGGGGAUGGACUCGCGGCUUAUCAGCUUGUUGGUGGGGUAGUGGCUUACCAAGGCUUUGACGGGUAGCCGGCCUGAGAGGGUGACCGGCCACCUUGGGACUGAGAUACGGCCCAGACUCCUACGGGACGCAGCAGUGGGGAAUAUUGCACAAUGGGCGGACGCCUGAUGCAGCAACGCCGCGUGCGGGAUGACGGCCUUCGGGUUGUAAACCGCUUUCGCCUGUGACGAAGCGUGAGUGACGGUAAUGGGUAAAGAAGCACCGGCUAACUACGUG